GCCUUCCUAGCUCAGUGGCAGAGCAGCGGUAUCGUAAACCGUAGAUCGGGGUUCGAUUCCCCGGGAAGGCU
rnacentral:tRNA from 1 species